rnacentral:rRNA from 1 species
AUUGAACGCUGGCGGCAGGCCUAACACAUGCAAGUCGAACGAGUGGCGGACGGGUGAGUAAUGUCUGGGAACCUGCCCGAUGGAGGGGGAUAACUACUGGAAACGGUAGCUAAUACCGCAUACCAUCGGAUGUGCCCAGAUGGGAUUAGCUUGUAGGUGAGGUAACGGUUCACCUAGGCGACGAUCCCUAGCUGGUCUGAGAGGAUGAUAAGCCACAGUGGAAUUGAGACACGGGCCAGACGCGUAAGUGGGGCAGCAUUGGGGAAUAUUGAACAAUGGGCGUAAGCCUGAUGGAGCCAUGCCGCGUGAAUGAAGAAGGCCUUCGGGUUGUAAAGUACUUUCAGCGGGGAGGCGUUACCCGCAGAAGAAGCACCGGCUAACUCCGUGCCAGCAGCCGCGGUAAUUC